UGUGUCGUUGUGGGGUACUGUGUCGUUGUGGGGUACUGUGUCGUUGUGGGGUACAGUGUCGUUGUGGGGUACUGUGUCGUUGUGGGGUACAGUGUCGUUGUGGGGUACAGUGUCGUUGUGGGGUACAGUGUCGUUGUGGGGUACAGUGUCGUUGUGGGGUACAGUGUCGUUGUGGGGUACAGUGUCGUUGUGGGGUACAGUGUCGUUGUGGGGUACAGUGUCGUUGUGGGGUACAGUGUCGUUGUGGGGUAUUGUGUCGUUGUGGGGUAUAGUGGGGUAUAGUGUCGUUGUGGGGUAUAGUGUCGUUGUGGGGUAUUGUGUCGUUGUGGGGUAUAGUGGGGUAUAGUGUCGUUGUGUGGGGUAUAGUGUCGUUGUGGGGUACAGUGUCGUUGUGGGGUACAGUGGCGUUGUG
ensembl:lncRNA